rnacentral:rRNA from 1 species
UUCGGAACCAGAGACCGGCGCACGGGUGCGUAACGCGUAUGCAAUCUACCUUUCACAGAGGGAUAGCCCAGAGAAAUUUGGAUUAAUACCUCAUAGUAUAAUGACUCGGCAUCGAGAUAUUAUUAAAGUCACAACGGUGAAAGAUGAGCAUGCGUCCCAUUAGCUUGUUGGUAAGGUAACGGCUUACCAAGGCAACGAUGGGUAGGGGUCCUGAGAGGGAGAUCCCCCACACUGGUACUGAGACACGGACCAGACUCCUACGGGAGGCAGCAGUGAGGAAUAUUGGACAAUGGGCGCAAGCCUGAUCCAGCCAUGCCGCGUGCAGGAUGACGGUCCUAUGGAUUGUAAACUGCUUUUAUACAGGAAGAAACACUCGGACGUGUCCGAGCUUGACGGUACUGUAGGAAUAAGGAUCGGCUAACUCCGUGCCAGCAGCCGCGGUAAUACGGAGGAUCCAAGCGUUAUCCGGAAUCAUUGGGUUUAAAGGGUCCGUAGGCGGUCUAGUAAGUCAGUGGUGAAAGCCCAUCGCUCAACGGUGGAACGGCCAUUGAUACUGCUAGACUUGAAUUAUUAGGAAGUAACUAGAAUAUGUAGUGUAGCGGUGAAAUGCUUAGAGAUUACAUGGAAUACCAAUUGCGAAGGCAGGUUACUACUAAUAUAUUGACGCUGAUGGACGAAAGCGUGGGUAGCGAACAGGAUUAGAUACCCUGGUAGUCCACGCCGUAAACGAUGGAUACUAGCUGUUGGGAGCAAUCUCAGUGGCUAAGCGAAAGUGAUAAGUAUCCCACCUGGGGGAGUACGUUCGCAAGAAUGAAACUCAAAGGAAUUGACGGGGGCCCGCACAAGCGGUGG